GGAGGCGUAAAGGCGUCUGGUGGCCCUCCCGGUCUUCAAAACCGGUGGAGCCGAGUAUCUCGGUUCGGCGGGUUCGAUUCCCGUCCGCCUCC
rnacentral:tRNA from 2 species